GUGAGUACCAUGCAUUCAAUCCUGGUUCUUCAUGGUUCGAUGCCUGGUACUUACAGA
rnacentral:pre_miRNA from 1 species